GUAAGCGUUAAGCGUCCGCUGACAAAGCGCCGAGCGAACGCAAUCAUCUUUAUUGAAACGAACGAUUCCAAUCAUGUCAUCUUCUUCGAAGCGGGCCAGCGCAUCGUUUAGCCCGGAUCGAACAUGCGCCGGUAAAUCGCACUGGGUAAUAUCCCCGUUCACAAUUACCGUCACAUUCUCCCCGAGGCGCGU
rnacentral:antisense_RNA from 1 species